AGCCAAACCAUCUCCCCGUGGAGGGGCACAUUCGGCACAGCGAUCACGAGCAGUAGUUAUAUAAUUUGGGUUGGAGUCCCUCCCGUUCUGUUUCGGAGGCAGACGAUGGAAAAUUAAGCACUAAGCGAUAAGAGUGGGCAGCGCCGUAGUGCAGCAUUCGUCUGGACGUUGCAGAAUCCAAGAGACAGCUGAUGGCACCUUAGAGCUCACAGCAACAUGUUCAAGCAGCUUAUGCAUGGACAGGACAAGACAGGACUGCAGCAGAGAGCAAGACAUUUCUUCAUGGAUCUUCCAUAGCAGUGACAACUCAGAUGGCUGUUAUAACUAUUUUCACUCAUCUCAUCUCUGUUGUGUAAUAAGUGAAGCUAAAAGCAAGCCUGUACAUAGUGGCUGAGUAGCCUUGGAGAACCUUUAAAGGCAGAUUCUUUUUGCUAAAACGGUUCCUCCUCUAUGGUGUGGGUCAAAGGAAAGCUUUGCCUUUGUUUUGCUGAUCUUGUUCAGAAAGAAAGGUUGACUAGCAAGAACUGUUAAAAAGACCUUAGUCUGCCCUUUCAGGUUAAAGAGAGAUUAACGGGCCUUGUAUUUAUAUUUGACACUCUCUGCAGUGCAAAGCUGAACUGGGAGUGGUAUCAUGACCCUACAGCACAUGAAACCUUUCGCAGACACCUGAGACACAGACAAUGGCUGUGUAACUCCCUCCCUCACUUACAUUCUUCUUCCUCUGUUUUACUUUCUGUACAAUAUUAUAGUCACUCACCCCAGGCGAGGGUUUGUCAGGUAGCUAACAAACAGACACACCAACACAUUCCAAAGGAGGUUUCUCUCUGCCUUGAACACACUCGCAGGCUCAUUCGUUAUGUCUGUGGGAGCUGCUGUUGCUCACACAAACACUUCAGCAAUGUUAGACAUAUGCCAUUGUCAGAAUCCAAGUAAUGCAUUUGUAAGGCUAAUGGUUCUAACAAUAAAUGGUUUACAGGUAUGAAUCAGUACUUUUGAGAGUAAGAAGCAGCCAUUUAUAUGUGUACUGAGGUGUGAUGUAUAUGGCCUCAUCAUUAAAUGCGUGCCAGUACACAUUGA